rnacentral:rRNA from 1 species
CAAUAGCGUAUAUUUAAGUUGCUGCAGUUAAAAAGCUCGUAGUUGGAUUUGUGGCUGUCGCCUGCAUCCCGGCAUUCGUGCCGGUGUUUGCUAGCGUCGCCAUCCUUGGGUGGAACCUGUGUGGCAUUAGGUUGUCGUGCAGGGGAUGCCCAUCGUUUACUGUGAAAAAAUUAGAGUGUUCAAAGCAGGCUUACGCCGUUGAAUAUAUUAGCAUGGAAUAAUAAGAUAGGACCUUGGUACUAUUUUGUUGGUUUGCGCACCAAGGUAAUGAUUAAUAGGGACAGUUGGGGGUAUUCGUAUUCCAUUGUCAGAGGUGAAAUUCUUGGAUUUUUGGAAGACGAACUACUGCGAAAGCAUUUACCAAGGAUGUUUUCAUUAA